GGCUUGUGGCUCAGUGGUAGAGCACUCGCCUAGCACGUGCAAGCACUGGGUUUGAGCCUCAGCACCA
rnacentral:tRNA from 1 species